GGGGCUGGAGCUCAGUGGUAAGAGUGCAUGCUUAGUAUAUAUGAGGCUCUGGAUUCAAUUUCCAGCACCA
rnacentral:tRNA from 1 species